AAAAAAUUUAAUACCACCCAAGCCUAAAAUGGGUAUGCCGAGAAAACAUGCAGUUCCCCUAUAAGCCGGGACCAGAGCGGCGUUUCCUCCUCCGGCCUCAGCCUGCAACAAGGCUGAUCCAUCUCAGAGGUGGAGUCUGGGGAACAGGGGAGUCUGAGGGCUGGAGGUGGAGUUUCAUAACACAGAUGGAUGUUCACCACCAUGGCUUUCUCAGACUUUUAAACCAGAAUGAGGUUCAGAGAGCUGUCAGAGGAUGUUGAAUGAACAGAAAUGGAAAAUUGGAACCAAUAUACAUUGAGCUACUUUGUGAAUCACAGUGGGAAAGCGUUGGAGUCCCAGCCUCACAUCACUUAAGACCCCACUCACUCAUAUCCACUGACAGCAGCACUCUCGCAGCCUGCUCCCCAUACCAGGGGGCACUUUCUCCAGGAUGAGCAAGAAAAACUGUUCUCCACUGUACCAGAUAUGGGUUUGAUGAAUUCAGCCCUGUGCAUAUCCAUGAAGGCCACCCAAGAACUUCCAGAAACUUCUGGUUCACCAUGAUCACCAGAAGAACAUCAAUGGAAUUAUUUCCAGUGCCUCGACACUUUGAAGGGAGGCUCAGUGUCCUGAGGCCAAGAUCAGAGGUCACCCCCAGAUCUUCUUCAGUGACUCCACUAAACAGGCUUUAAGAAAGAAAAUGAAGUUUGAGUUUGGGGUCAGCCGUGGAGACUGCUUGGGGUCUGAUAUUCUUUGAAGACAGAG
ensembl:lncRNA